UGGUUCCCUCUGCUUUAUCUAUAAAUUCAUAGAGGCCUUUGAGUUGGCCUCCAAGCUCAUUGCAAAGAAGUGGAGAGUCCCCUCGAGAAGGCAAAGAUGGAAGGUGCAACUAAGUUGGAAGAAAAGAAAAAGGAGAAGAAGGAGAAGAUUACGGAUCCACUCAAGCUAAGGCAGAAGCUGGAGAAGAUUGAUGCUAAAAUUGAUGCACUGAAAGCCGAAAAAGAAGAGGUGAUAAGACAACUAUAUGAAUUAGAGCAAGGUGGUGCCGAAGGAGGAGGUUCUUCCCAACCAAGCAACGAAGGAGCUCCAGCUCCAUAAUUGUUAGAUGGAAGAAAUAAAAUAUUUUGUCCUGGCAAAUAGAGGAUACUAGGCUACUGCUGCUGCAGUAUUUUUUAGAUUUGAAUCCUCCUGCAGACUUCACGUUUUCUGUCAUGUUCAUUUUUUUUAAUGUAUAAUGUGUACCAAAUGUUUAAAUCUUUAAUCAGAUAUGCGAGUCUUCUGUUGUUUGUUAAU